rnacentral:rRNA from 1 species
UACGUAGGGUGCAAGCGUUAAUCGGAAUUACUGGGCGUAAAGCGUGCGCAGGCGGUUUUGUAAGUCUGUCGUGAAAUCCCCGGGCUCAACCUGGGAAUUGCGAUGGAGACUGCAAGGCUAGAAUCUGGCAGAGGGGGGUAGAAUUCCACGUGUAGCAGUGAAAUGCGUAGAGAUGUGGAGGAACACCGAUGGCGAAGGCAGCCCCCUGGGUCAAGAUUGACGCUCAUGACGACGAAAGCGUGGGGAGCAA